GACGAACCGUGCGAACGUUGUUCGGAAUCACUGGGCUUAAAGGGCGCGUAGGCGGUCGGGCAAGUCCGGGGUGAAAUCCUGCAGCUUAACUGUAGAAGUGCCUUGGAUACUGCUCGGCUCGAGGGAGGUAGGGGUCUGUGGAACUUCUGGUGGAGCGGUGAAAUGCGUUGAUAUCAGAAGGAACGCCGGUGGCGAAAGCGGCAGACUGGACCUCUUCUAACGCUGAGGCGCGAAAGCUAGGGGAGCAAACGGG
rnacentral:ncRNA from 2 species